AUAUAUAUAUAUAGAGAGAGAGAGAGAGAGAGAUAUAACUCACUGUUUGUACAAUAUAAAUACCAUGAAUCUCUCAAUGUGGUUCAGUCCACACAACCACAAUCAUGGGGAAGACUGCUGACUUCACAGUUGUUCAGAAGACAGUCAUUGGCACCCUCCACAAGGAGGAUAAGCAACUGGUCUUUGCUGACAGAGCUGGCUGUUUACAGAGUACUACAAGUAAGUCCCUUCAGUUUCUCCCUUUUUUCACUCA